AGAGUUUGAUCCUGGCUCAGGACGAACGCUGGCGGCGUGCUUAACACAUGCAAGUCGAACGCUGAAGCUUGGUGCUUGCACUGGGUGGAUGAGUGGCGAACGGGUGGGUAAUACGUGAGUAACCUGCCCUUAACUCUGGGAUAAGCCUGGGAAACUGGGUCUAAUACUGGAUAUGACAUGUCACUGCAUGGUGGCGUGUGGAAAGGGUUUUACUGGUUUUGGAUGGGCUCACGGCCUAUCAGCUUGUUGGUGGGGUAAUGGCCCACCAAGGCGACGACGGGUAGCCGGCCUGAGAGGGUGACCGGCCACACUGGGACUGAGACACGGCCCAG
rnacentral:rRNA from 1 species